CAGUCAGUCGGUGGUUCAGUGUCUGCAGAUGUGCGAUAGUUUAAACCUUCCAAAACCCUAGCCAUUUCCUCUCUCCAGACACUCCCAGCAGAUCCAUCAUAUUGAAACAUUGAAUCUGUGAAGCUCGAAAGCCUACGAAAAUGUCGAUGUCUAAGAGCUCGAAGAUGCUGCAGUUCAUCAACUACCGGAUGCGUGUGACCAUCCAGGACGGCCGUCAAUUGGUGGGCAAAUUCAUGGCUUUCGAUCGACAUAUGAAUCUCGUUCUAGGCGACUGCGAGGAGUUCCGGAAGCUUCCGCCAGCCAAGGGCAAGAAGAACAACGAGGAGCGCGAGGACCGACGUACUCUUGGCCUAGUUCUUCUCCGUGGCGAGGAGGUCGUAUCCAUGACCGUCGAGGGGCCACCGCCUCCUGAAGAAUCGCGUGCGAAGGCCGUUUCUGCUAGUGCCGUCGCUGGCCCUGGAAUCGGUCGCGCUGCUGGACGAGGCGUGCCUACUGCUCCCCUUGUGCAAGCCCAGCCCGGACUUGCUGGCCCUGUCCGUGGCGUUGGUGGGCCCGCUCCAGGAAUGAUGCAGCCCUCGCUGUCUCGUCCGCCAGUCCCUCAACUAUCUGCACCGCCUAUGACGUACCCUGCGCCGCCUCCAGGGUCAGGUGCUCCUCCGGUGAUCCGACCGCCUGGACAGAUGCCGCCUCCAGGUUCAACUGCUCCCUACCCAGGUCAGGGACAUCCAAUGGCUCGUGGCCCUCCACAAAUGCCGCCGCCACAGUACGGAGUUAGGCCGCCACAGCAAGGUUUCCAGAUGCCAGCACCACCACAAUACGGGCAGAGACCCAUGGGAGUGCCGCCUCCACCACAGAACCCUAUGAUGAGAGGACCUCCUGGUCCACCACGGCCUGGAAUGCCUGGCCCCCCUCCACCACGUCCUGGGAUGCCACCUCCGCCUGGUGGCGUUCCUGUUUAUGGUCCACCUCGUCCAGGUAUGCCGCCUCCACCAAACCCUCAGCAGCAGCAACAGCAAAAUCAGCAACAGUGAUGAUAUGGAAUCAUCUUCUGUACUGCAGAUGGUUACAUCUACAAAUCUGCAUAUGAUGUGAAGGAUGCUGAGGUGAUGCUGUUAAGCUUUUUGCAUGGCUUUUUUCUCCUGCUGCGAGUGCAUGUAAUCUGGACGAGUUUGAAUCUUUGUUCUGUCGUACUUUAGUACUUUCUUGAUGUCAUUUAGAUAGCUAUGUCAUGUUAGUGGAGAUUGCUAUGCUCACCAAAAAAUAGUUGUAUCUUUGCAAUAUGACCAAAUUAGUUGGGCCAUGGUGGAUGCCGAGCAACCUUUCUGAUAAAUUCAAAUGAGUACAGUUUUCUAGCUGGGGUGUUAAUAGUUCUUAUUAUCUCGGUCUCUCUUCGUUUGCCUGUCUGAAUUUUGUGAUUUGUUUCAUGAUAUGCCCUUGGUAUGUUGAACAUUAUAUAUAUAUGUACUGUUAGUUGCUUCU